UAACGUCGUGCAUGAAACAAGUCAAUGGCGCACGUGAAGAGAGAGGAGUAACGUUGUGCAUGAAACAAGUCACUGCCACGCUUGAAGAGAGAGGAGUAAGGCCGUGCAUGAAACAAGUCACUGCCGUGCAUGAAGAAAGACUGCUACCUGUUGACUGCAUGCUACCAUGUGAGCCAAUUGUCAACUUGCAUUGCCAUUAAAAGGCC
rnacentral:lncRNA from 1 species